GACGAACGCUGGCGGCGUGCCUAACACAUGCAAGUCGAACGGAAAGGCCCUGCUUUUGUGGGGUGCUCGAUUGGCGAACGGGUGAGUAACACGUGAGUAACCUGCCCUUGACUUUGGGAUAACUUCAGGAAACUGGGGCUAAUACCGGAUAGGAGCUCCUGCUGCAUGGUGGUGGUUGGAAAGUUUCGGCGGUUGUGGAUGGUCUCGCGGCUUAUCAGCUGGUUGGUGGGGUAGUGGCUUACCAAGGCUUUGACGGGUAGCCGGCCUGAGAGGGUGACCGGCCACAUUGGUCCUGAGAUACGGCCCAGACUCCUACGGGAGGCAGCAGUGGGGAAUAUUGCACAAUGGGCGGAAGCCUGAUGCAGCAACGCCGCGUGCGGGAUGACGGCCUUCGGGUUGUAAACCGCUUUCGCCGGAGACGAAGCGUGAGUGACGGUAAUGGGUAAAGAAGCACCGGCUAACUACGUG
rnacentral:rRNA from 1 species